CUUAGGUGACGACUAAGCACACGUUUGAUACGUACGUCUCACUCACGCUCGUGCAAAAGACCAUGGAAACUAAUCAACAACCACUAAAUGUCAUGCAAAAACAGAUAAGGCCAAAGAAUUAUCAAUUCACAACUAAUGUCAAUUUUUUCAGUUGACAAUCGCGACGUGAAUUUUUGUGUAGUUUUCUUUUAUUCUCUGUUAAAAAAUUGUGUUUAUAACAAAAGAUCGUGUUUAAAUUCGUGAAAAACUGUUUCGGACGAGAAUUCGGUGACAAAUCAAUGUGUUUAUAUGUGAAAAUUGCGAAAAACUACACACGUGGGCGUUAAAAACAAGAAAAUCAAGAAAAUGCUUUUUGGAGUGAGGCGGCUUUAGCAAUUGGUAAUCACCACAUACAUAUGUCUAUACGCAUACGGUGGUGUAUGUGUGUGCUUGCAGUCAUAAGUCGCUUUUGACAGCUAACAAAAAUCGAUUUGUUUACAUCUAAAAUAGACAAAAAUUGCUCUGAAUUUCUCAUAAAAAGUGUUUGCCAGUGAAUAAAUGUUCCUUGCUAAAUCUGAAAAAUUAUUAUUUAUAUAAAGAAAGUGUAAAAAUCUGGUUCUAUAACGCAGUUAACCGGCUAGGUGUUUGUUUUUGUAAAGUGUUUGUUAACUCUAGCCGGCACUCCGCAGCCACACUAUACUGCGCCAACUGCGACUGCGACGACGACGACCAAGUCGACGUCUGUCUCUUGUUUGUUUGUGUACUUGGCGUUUAUUUACCUAUUUAUUGCUAUAGCCAAUUUUCUGCAAAUAAAUUUCACAUUUUGCGAAUGCACUUUAAAAUAUACACCAAAAUUUCGAUAACAAAUUAAUGAAUAGUUUUGUUGUAAAGUGAAAAACGAGUUUUAACUUCUAAUUUGUUGCGUUAACGCCUUUUUCUACUACGUCAAAACAAAGUUACUUGGUGCGCUUGUAUAUGUGUUGUAUGCGUGGGUGUACCAACCAGCGGCCGUAUAGAGUGUUGUAAAAAAAUAUUGUGCGGAAAAUAAAAUCUAAUACCUUCGUGCAUAUGUAUGCAUGUAUGUAUGUAUGUAGUUUUAAUAGAACCAGUUUGAUAAAGUGUCUAUUUGCACAAAGCUUAGAGGUGUCAGCAGCGCCACUGCAUUGACUCUUUUUUAGUGUUUAAAAUAUUUGUGGUUUAGUAAAAGAAUAUAUAACAACAAAAACUAUUUGUGGCGCGCGUUUUUUCGACUGAUUCACUUAAUCAUCGCCCACACGUCACAUACAAAUUACUGGCACAUAAACCCGGUGUUAACAUAUUUUGUGGAUUAUACUUUGUGUUGAUUCAACGCCGCCUGUGGUUAUGUACAUAUGUAUGUUUGUUUUAGGUGGGCACAAGAAUAUGUGUUCCUGAGAAAAAGGUAAACGUGGUUUUAACUAGCAACUUGAAUAAUUAGUGGACUUAUAUCUAAAAACUUGUUAUCAACGAUUUAUGUGGCUGAAGCAAAGGAUCAAUGUGAAAAAGAGUGCCUAAUUUAACUGAGGGUAUUUUAACGGCAGCACUUUCAAAUGAUUUGGUAAUAUUUUAGGAAGCUAAUUGAGGCAAUAAGGGAUAACCGCUGUGUGCAUGGAUGGCGUCUAGAGUCGUCCCACGAUCAAAUCGCAUAUUCAAAUCUUGAACCCACUUUUAAAACUUCAAAGUGACAGGGUUAAUUGAUUGAUAAUUCCGUUGAAGUUACCAUAAAGACAACAGCAAGAAACACUUCCACUUCUCCCUUGUUUGCGUAAAUACAACUGUCAAACGGUGGCAAAAAAAAACUGUCAAAUUAUUGAUGUGUCAUUGUAGUCGUCCGCCUGCCAACAACAGCUAAAAAAAAAAACUGAAACGAGAGCAAAGCACAAGUGAUAGCUGUCGUUUAUUGAGGAGCAACACAAAAAGAAAACGAACGAAGCAAGUAACGAAAAUAUAAAAGCUAUAAGAGGAAGACAGAGUAAAAAAAAAAGAGAGAGAGGGAAAGGGCGAGGAAAAAAGGCAAGCAGUCUCUACUCUAAACACAUGACAAGCUAAAUAACAGAGUUGAUAUUUGGCAAAAUAUAAAAAAAUGAAAAAAAGUUAAAAAAACUAGAGUAGUUUGCAGAAAAUAUAGAAAAAGAAAGCAUGCACCGCAUGAGUACGAAAAAAAUGAGCUUUAAUAUGAGCAAGCAAGAGAAAGAAAGCUGAGAAAGCUUAAAUUAAGAAAAAAAUAAAGUGUAAUCUACUAAUAAGUAGAGAAAAUAUCGAAAAGAACAAUUAACAGAGUGUGGAAAAUAUCUUUAAAAAAUAAAGAAAGAAAAUAAAAAGCUCUUAAACGAAGAGAAACAAGUUUUCAAAGGCGCUUUGAUUGAUAUAUUUUAAAAAACUAAAGAAAGCAAGCGCUUCAACCACACAAAAUAGCGCAUUGGAUUUAUAAAGAGACUCGAAAUAGAGCUUACAACCGACAAAAAGCUUACACGCGAGCUUACAACCCCAAAGUUGCAGUUUAAAGCUCACAGUGAGUCUAUAAAAAAAAAGGAGAAAGAAAAAAUAACAAAUCUUAAACAGCUAGCGAUCACUGCAACGAAUAAGUUCAAAGAGUAAGACGAGAAAACACAAAGGUUGCACAAGAUUAAGAAAGCUUAACAAAGAAAAAAAAACAAUUUUACGAAAAAAAGUUCCAGAUCAAAACAUUAAAAUAAAAAAUUCAAAAAAAAAAAGAAAACCGACUACUAACCAGCAGCGAGUAAGUCUAGUUAUAUAACGGUAACCUAACGGUGAUUCAGGCAAAAGCUCAUUACGAAUUUUGAAAAAAUCAUUAAAAGCACAACUCAAAAAAAACAACAAAGUACACCUGUCAUUAAAAAUCAUAAU